rnacentral:lncRNA from 10 species
CACCCAGCGGAAACCCGAGGCAAGGCAGCCAACGACGUGGAGACUCGCGGGCCCCUUUGCGAGGUUACUACACGGGUUGCGCCCUCCGAAGUCUUCGGCCUUACUUCCCAUUAGAACAGAGAAAUGCCAUCCACAGGCCAACAAGUAGACUUCAUCUUCUUCCGUAAUAUCUACCCCUAACCACUAAUACAAACACGCAUUUUUCAAGCACCUAAUAUGUGCUAGACACUGGGAAUAGAGAAAUAAUAGUCUUUGGGAAAGCCAUAAAUAUAAGCAAAUAAAUUACAUUACGCCCUGCUGACUGCUGAGAUAAAAGAAAAUAAUCGGGUCCCUCUCCUUCUCCCUCUCCCUCUCCCGUCUCCCUCUCCCGUCUCCCUCUCCCCACGGUCUCCCUCUCCCUCUCUUUCCACAGUCUCCCUCUGAUGCCGAGCCAAAGCUGGACUGUACUGCCAUCUCGGCUCACUGCAACCUCCCUGCCUGAUUCUCCUGCCUCAGCCUGCCGAGUGCCUGCGAUUGCAGGUGCGCGCCGCCACGCCUGACUGUUUUUCGUAUUUUUUUGGUGGAGACGGGGUUUCGCUGUGUUGGCCGGGCUGGUCUCCAGCUCCUAACCGCGAGUGAUCCGCCAGCCUCGGCCUCCCGAGGUGCCGGGAUUGCAGACGGAGUCUCGUUCACUCAGUGCUCAAUGGUGCCCAGGCUGGGGUGCAGUGGCGUGAUCUCGGCUCGCUGCAACCUCCACCUCCCAGCCGCCUGCCUUGGCCUCCCAAAGUGCCGAGAUUGCAGCCUUUGCCCGGCCGCCACCCCGUCUGGGAAGUGAGGAGCCUCUCUGCCUGGCCGCCCAUCGUCUGGGAUGUGAGGAGCCCCUCUGCCUGGCUGCCCAGUCUGGAAAGUGAGGAGCGUCUCUGCCCGGCCGCCAUCCUGUCUAGGAAGUGAGGAGCGUCUCUGCCCGGCUGCCCAUCGUCUGGGAUGAAGUGAGGAGCGUCUCUGCCUGGCCGCCCAUCGUCUGAGAUGUGGGGAGUGCCUCUGCCCCGCCGCCCCGUCUGGGAUGUGAGGAGCGCCUCUGCCCGGCCGCGACCCCGUCUGGGAGGUGAAGAGCGUCUCUGCCCGGCCGCCCCGUCUGAGAAGUGAGGAGACCCUCCGCCCGGCAGCCGCCCCGUCUGAGAGGUGAAGAGCGUCUCCGCCCGGCCGGCCGCCCCGUCCGGGAGGGAGGUGGGGGGGUCGGCCCCCCGCCCGGCCGGCCGCCCCGUCCGGGAGGUGACGGGCGCCUCUGCCCGGCCGCCGCUACUGGGAAGUGAGGAGCCCCUCUGCCCGGCCACCACCCGGUCUGGGAGGUGUACCCAACAGCUCAUUGAGAACGGGCCAUGAUGACAAUGGCGGUUUUGUGGAAUAGAAAAGGGGGAAAGGUGGGGAAAAGAUUGAGAAAUCGGAUGGUUGCUGUGUCUGUGUAGAAAGAGGUAGACAUGGGAGACUUUUCAUUUUGUUCUGUACUAAGAAAAAUUCUUCUGCCUUGGGAUCCUGUUGAUCUAUGACCUUACCCCCAACCCUGCGCUCUCUGAAACAUGUGCUGUGUCCACUCAGGGUUAAAUGGAUUAAGGGCGGUGCAAGAUGGGCUUUGUUAAACAGAUGCUUGAAGGCGGCAGGCUCGUUAAGAGUCAUUACCACUCCCUAGUCUCAAGUACCCAGGGACACAAACACUGCAGAAGGCCGCAGGGUCCUCUGCCUAGGAAAACCAGAGAUCUUUGUUCACUUGUUUAUCUGCUGACCUUCCCUCCACUAUUGUCCUAUGACCCUGCCAAAUCCCCCUCUGCGAGAAACACCCAAGAAUGAUCAAUAAAAAAAAAAAAAAAAGUCAACAGAAAAAAAAAAAAAAAAAAGGAAGGAAAACUUUCCAGAAGAGAGAUGUGUCUAGCACAAGAGAAGAGGAAUAGUCCUGAGCCUGGAGGAUUAUUUUGCAGGAAUCUCACAGGGCAGUUCCUAAUGCAGGAGAAUUAAAAUAGGCUUUUCCUGGUGUAUUUCUUGCAAACAUUUUGGGCCAAGUGGCCUUCCCACACCCUCACAUGAGCCUGCUUCCCUCCCACUCCUCUGUCAUCAGGGCAUUUCUGUUUAGGAACAGCAGGUCUAAUAUUGACUUAAAUAAAGCAGACUUGACAGAAAAAAAAAAAAAAAGAAAGAAAGAAAAUGUGGCACAUAUACACCAUGGAAUACUAUGCAGCCAUAAAAAAUGAUGAGUUCAUGUCCUCUGUAGGGACAUGGAUGAAGCUGGAAACCAUCAUUCUCAGCAAACUAUCACAAGGACAAAAAACCAAACACCUCAUGUUCUCAUUCAUAGGUGGGAAUUGAACAAUGAGAACACUUGGACACAGGAAGGGGAACAUCACACACCGGGGUCUGUUGUGGGGUGGGGGGCGAUAGCAUUAGGAUAUAUACCUAAUGUAAAUGACGAGUUAAUGGGUGCAACACACCAACAUGGCCCAUGUAUACAUAUGUAACAAACCUGCACGUUGUGCACGUGUACCCUAUAACUUAAAGUAUAAUAAAAAAAUUAAAAAAAAAAAAAACACACGUUUGGCAGAAAAUACAGACAAUCCAAAUGAAGAAAUCCUACCCCACAUAUGAACUUUAGAGCUAGUAUCUUCUAAAUAUGGCAAGUUUUGUCAAAUGAACCAGGUUCAUUUGCAUUGAAAAACUAUUUAAGUUAUGUGCUGUAUUCAGAACUGGUUCUGGGAAAAUGCUCCAUUGUUUAUGAUUGUUUUUCACCAGCUGUAUCUAGUCUUCUAGUGUCCUGUCUCACUUUGAAAUUCUAAAGCCACCCACUAGAAAAUAUCCACCUAUUAACUUCAGUGAUUUCUGCUUGUAAAAACCUUCUGCCGUUUUGAGGAGGAUCAAAUAUAGAAGUGCCC